rnacentral:rRNA from 1 species
AGUGAACGCUGGCGGUAGGCCUAACACAUGCAAGUCGAACGGCAGCACAGGAGAGCUUGCUCUCUGGGUGGCGAGUGGCGGACGGGUGAGGAAUACAUCGGAAUCUACUUUUUCGUGGGGGAUAACGUAGGGAAACUUACGCUAAUACCGCAUACGACCUACGGGUGAAAGCAGGGGAUCUUCGGACCUUGCGCGAUUGAAUGAGCCGAUGUCGGAUUAGCUAAUUGGCGGGGUAAAGGCCCACCAAGGCGACGAUCCGUAGCUGGUCUGGGAGGAUAAUCAGCCACACUGGAACUGAGACACGGUCCAGACUCCUACGGGAGGCAGCUGUGGGGAAUAUUGGACAAUGGGCGCAAGCCUGAUCCAGCCAUACCGCGUGGGUGAGGAAGGCCUUCGGGUUGUAAAGCCCUUUUGUUGGGAAAGAAAUCCAGCUGGUUAAUACCCGGUUGGGAUGACGGUACCCAAAGAAUAAGCACCGGCUAACUUCGUGCCAGCCGCCGCGGUAA